GAUGAACGCUGGCGGCGUGCUUAACGCAUGCAAGUCGAACGAAACACCUUAUUUGAUUUUCUUCGGAACUGAAGAUUUGGUGAUUGAGUGGCGGACGGGUGAGUAACGCGUGGGUAACCUGCCCUGUACAGGGGGAUAACAGUCAGAAAUGACUGCUAAUACCGCAUAAGACCACAGCACCGCAUGGUGCAGGGGUAAAAACUCCGGUGGUACAGGAUGGACCCGCGUCUGAUUAGCUGGUCGGUGAGGUAACGGCUCACCAAGGCGACGAUCAGUAGCCGGCUUGAGAGAGUGAACGGCCACAUUGGGACUGAGACACGGCCCAGACUCCUACGGGAGGCAGCAGUGGGGAAUAUUGCACAAUGGGGGAAACCCUGAUGCAGCGACGCCGCGUGAGUGAAGAAGUAUUUCGGUAUGUAAAGCUCUAUCAGCAGGGAAGAAAAUGACGGUACCUGACUAAGAAGCCCCGGCUAACUACGUG
rnacentral:rRNA from 1 species